rnacentral:rRNA from 1 species
CAGUCGCCGCGGGAAUACGGAGGGGGCUAGCGUUGUUCGGAAUUACUGGGCGUAAAGCGUACGUAGGCGGCUUUGUAAGUUAGAGGUGAAAGCCUGGUGCUCAACACCAGAACUGCCUUUAAGACUGCAUCGCUUGAACGUCGGAGAGGUGAGUGGAAUUCCGAGUGUAGAGGUGAAAUUCGUAGAUAUUCGGAAGAACACCAGUGGCGAAGGCGGCUCACUGGACGACUGUUGACGCUGAGGUACGAAAGCGUGGGGAGCAAACAGGAUUAGAUACCCCGGUAGUCCCUGUCUCUUAUAA